rnacentral:rRNA from 1 species
UACGGAGGGGGCUAGCGUUGUUCGGAAUUACUGGGCGUAAAGCGCACGUAGGCGGCUUUCUAAGUCGGGGGUGAAAUCCUGGAGCUCAACUCCAGAACUGCCUUCGAUACUGGAGAGCUUGAGUCCGGGAGAGGUGAGUGGAACUGCGAGUGUAGAGGUGAAAUUCGUAGAUAUUCGCAAGAACACCAGUGGCGAAAGGCGGC